AUUGAACGCUGGCGGCAGGCCUAACACAUGCAAGUCGAACGAGUGGCGGACGGGUGAGUAAUGUCUGGGAAACUGCCCGAUGGAGGGGGAUAACUACUGGAAACGGUAGCUAAUACCGCAUACCAUCGGAUGAGCCCAGAUGGGAUUAGCUAGGAGGUGGGGUAACGGCUCACCUAGGCGACGAUCCCUAGCUGGUCUGAGAGGAUGACCAGCCAAACUGGAACUGAGACACGGUGCAGACUCCUACGGGAGGCAGCAGUGGUGAAUAUUGCACAAUGGGCGGAAGCCUGAGGCAGCCAUGCCGCGUGUAUGAAGAAGGCCGUCGGGUUGUAAAGUACUUUCAGCGAGGAGGCGUUACUCGCAGAAGAAGCACCGGCUAACUCCGUGCCAGCAGCCGCGGUAAUAC
rnacentral:rRNA from 1 species